GCGGAUGUGGCGGAAUGGUAGACGUAGCAGACUUAAAAUCUGUUGUCCGACAGGACGUGGGGGUUCAAGUCCCCCCAUCCGCACCA
rnacentral:tRNA from 1 species